AUGGGGUUAGAUGGGGUUAGAUGGGGUUAGAUGGGGGGAUAUGGGGGGGAUAUGGGGGGAAUAUGGGGUUAUAUGGGGGUAUAUGGGGGUAUAUGGGGUUAGAUGGGGUUAGAUGGGGGAUAUAUGGGGUUGUAUGGGGGUAUAUGGGGCUAGAUGGGAUUAUAUGGGGUUAGAUGGGGUUAUAUGGGGGAUAUAUGGGGUUAUAUGGGGAGAUAUAUGGGGUUAGAUGGGGUUAUAUGGAAGGAAUAUGGGGUUAUAUGGAAGGAAUAUGGGGUUAUAUGGGGUUAUAUGGGGAGAUAUAUGGGGUUAGAUGGGGUUAUAUGGGGGGAUAUGGGGGGAUAUGGGGGGAGAUAUAUAGGGUUAUAUAGGGUUAUAUGGGGUUAUAUGGGGGGGUAUAUGGGGUUAUAUGGAGGUUAUAUGGGGAGAUAUAUGGGGUUAUAUAGGGUUAUAUGGGGGGAAUAUGGGGUUAGAUGAGGGAUAUAUGAGGUUGUAUGGGGUUAUAUAGGGUUAUAUGGGAGUUAUAUGGGGAGAUAU
rnacentral:lncRNA from 1 species